rnacentral:lncRNA from 1 species
GUUGCUCUACCAGGAAGGGCCCUCUCCAGAUGGCAGGACUGGGUGCAUAGGUCUUGUCUUUCUGGAGUACAGUGAGGGAGGCCUGGGGGCAGAAUUCAAGGCCAGCCUUGUCUUCAUUAUUAGCCACAGGAAAGCCAGAGUUACAGAGUCAGAACCUGCCUCAUUCAUAAAGACAAACAAACAAAUAAGGGAAUGUAAAAUGAGGAAAAAAAAUCUUUAAACAUCACUCAUUGUAUGUAAAUAUCAUAUAAAAAGAGUUCUUAUGGUUUAAUAAUAAAAGACAAGCCAACUUAAAAAUGGUCAAGGAAGCUGGGUACGGUGGCUCACGCCAGUAAUCGAGCUGGUGGGGGGGGGUGAUUUAAAUCACAUAGAAAUUAUCUUUUACAAAUGUAGGAGACUCUCACAAGUAUGCAGUCCAGUAUGGCAGCUAGAAAAGCCACCAAGGACAAGGCUCCCCCUGGGUCACCCGUUC